ACGAACGCUGGCGGCGUGCCUAAUACAUGCCAGUAGAACGCACAGUUUAUACCGUAGCUUGCUACACCAUAGACUGUGAGUUGCGAACGGGUGAGUAACGCGUAGGUAACCUGCCUGGUAGCGGGGGAUAACUAUUGGAAACGAUAGCUAAUACCGCAUAAUAUUGAUUAUUGCAUGAUAAUUGAUUGAAAGAUGCUAUUGCAUCACUACCAGAUGGACCUGCGUUGUAUUAGCUAGUAGGUGAGGUAACGGCUCACCUAGGCGACGAUACAUAGCCGACCUGAGAGGGUGAUCGGCCACACUGGGACUGAGACACGGCCCAGACUCCUACGGGAGGCAGCAGUAGGGAAUCUUCGGCAAUGGACGAAAGUCUGACCGAGCAACGCCGCGUGAGUGAAGAAGGUUUUCGGAUCGUAAAGCUCUGUUGUAAGAGAAGAACGGGUGUGAGAGUGGAAAGUUCACACUGUGACGGUAGCUUACCAGAAAGGGACGGCUAACUACGUG
rnacentral:rRNA from 1 species